UGAAAAGAACUUUGGAGAGAGAGUCCAAGAGACCGCGAAACCGUUGGGAGGGAAACGAAUGUGGCCAUGAAGACUCCACUCAGGUUCAUGGAGCCUCGGUUCGAGCAUUGCCGUCGGUGUGAGCCCGUUGGGCCUAUCCGUGGCGAGCUCGUCGGGGCUUCUGCAAUCCCGUUUGGAGUCCGCCAACGGCGGUCGCCUGCGGUCCAGCAGGGUCGGAGGGAGGUGACUCCAUCUCUAGACUCGUUCUGGGGGAGGAAAGCAUAUAGCCUCCGGCCUGGUGAUCGCGGACGGCCGAGGAGAGUUGCGACCUUUCGCACUGUGCAGUGCAGGCUCCCUGGGGGCCGGGUCGCUCGUGGGCCUGCGUGCUUCGCGGCGAGCUACUGCUUGCAGUGCUCGUUGACGUUAAAGUUGCGCUCGCUAGCGAGGUCGACCACGAUGUGCGCUGUAGUCGUUGGUGUGCGU
rnacentral:rRNA from 1 species